AAACAUCAUGCCUCCUCCUCCUGUCUUCUCUCUUAUCUCUUCUCUCCCCUCUCCCUCACUGCUGAGCCACGAAACCACCAACAAGUAGCCCAGCUGCGGCAGCAACCGGUCUCCCACAACACCACUGGUCUUCCCUCUCUCCUCCUUGUGAUGCAGCUGCUUCUUUCCCCUCCAAACAGCCACCGCAGCAGUAGCUUAGGGUGUUGCAUUUGUUGCGCGUGCCGCCAGCCACAGUGGCCAGUUUUGGAGUCCUCUCUCCAAUCGAUUUGGUCUCGUGCCACCACUACCACAACCUUAACUUACCUCUUUCCCCUUUUUGCUAGUUUUAAUUUUGUUUUCAGUUCAUAAGAGGAAAGUAGAACCUUAGUUGGGUGAAUUUUGUAACUUUUGGUCGUGCAGUGACGCUUACAGCCUUAGGUCUGAUGUCGAGCAGCAGGAGGAUCAUACACAGGCGUGGCAGGUAUUGGAGCUUCUUUCACAUUGCAUUGCAUUGGGGGAGAGUGAUGAGGGCGAAGCAUAACCCGUGUCAUACCGUUAUCUUUCGAUUUUGUAGCUCUUGUUUAUCUUUUGUAAACUUUGGUUGUAUACAUUUUGUUAUGAGGCCUUGUGUACUCCUUUGUA